GACGAACGCUGGCGGCGUGCUUAACACAUGCCAGUCGAACGGUAAGGCCCCAGCUUGCUGGGGUACACGAGUGGCGAACGGGUGAGUAACACGUGGGUGACCUGCCCCGCACUUCGGGAUAAGCCUGGGAAACUGGGUCUAAUACCGGAUAGGACCGCACCGUGAGGGUGUGGUGGAAAGUUUUUCGGUGUGGGAUGGGCCCGCGGCCUAUCAGCUUGUUGGUGGGGUAAUGGCCUACCAAGGCGGCGACGGGUAGCCGGCCUGAGAGGGUGGACGGCCACAUUGGGACUGAGACACGGCCCAGACUCCUACGGGAGGCAGCAGUGGGGAAUAUUGCACAAUGGGCGGAAGCCUGAUGCAGCGACGCCGCGUGGGGGAUGACGGCCUUCGGGUUGUAAACUCCUUUCACCAUCGACGAAGGUUUUCUGACGGUAGAUGGAGAAGAAGCACCGGCUAACUACGUG
rnacentral:rRNA from 1 species